CGUCUCCUCCACGAUUCUCAGCUCGGCGGCUGCCAUCUUCCCCGUGGACAUCACUGCAGGCCCAUCACCGUCUGGCACAGUCUCUCCUGCCAUGUCUGCCACAGAGGAGCACGACUGGAUGCCAGGUGGCCUGGACAGGGCUGUUGGCAGGGCGGGCUGUGACCCCAGUCCCUUGGGGUCCCGGCACCGGCUUGGGAGGGGACGGAUGGGGUCGAGGAGGCCGCGGCCCUUCUGCCCUCCCUGAGGGUGUCAGGAGGCCUUCGCAGGGGGCACGGUGGGCCACAGGCCACAAUGGAAGAGUGGGCUAUAGAGCCGUUAGAGGAGGAGGAGGAGUCUGAUUUCGAGCUGGAGGCCCUGGAGGAGGAGGAGCACCUGGAGGAGGAGGAGCACCUGUUGGAAGAGAUCGAGGAGGAGGAGACAGUAGAGAAUGAUGAGAGUGAGCAGGAAGGCGCAGCAGUGGUUGCAGGCCACAGGGACCCCUUGGAGCAGUUUGGGCCUGUGUUCUGGGGUCUGGUCCACUCCCUUCUACACAGUUUCUCCUACGAUGACCAUGUCCUGGUCUGGCCCCCUGGCCCCUGCCCGAUGGUCAUGCACAGCUCCCAGCCUCCCUCCGGCCCUGGAGAGGGUCCCGCACCUCCGCAGGAGCAGGAAGACCUGGCAGAGGGAGGCGAGGCCUCACAGGUUCCGGUCCCAAAGUCUGUAUUAUACUUCACAAAAGAAGCGAGUGAUUAUCAGUAUGAAGAGUCUGAUGAGAGGUCCAAGAAGCUGAAGGUGAGGAGGAGGACAGCGAUAAAAAACCAGAAGAAGGACCUGGAAAGGACCUGGACCCAGCAGAGGACAGCCCGGGAGAACCCAGCUGUCAAGCAUAGAAAGACAUGAUGGAGGAAGAAACAAUGGACGUGUCCCUCACGAAUUUGAGAUUUUCGGCUUCUCAGUAGCCAGUGGGAAUUUUAUCAACACUGGUUUUGUUCCAGAUUUCAUCAUGUGAAAUGUCUUAUCCACUGACAUCUGACUUUUUUUCUUACGUUUGUCAGAUAUAUUUGACUGCGUUUGUUCAUGAUAAAAAUAAAAAUUUGCUAGCCAUGGAU
rnacentral:lncRNA from 1 species